rnacentral:rRNA from 1 species
GACGAACGCUGGCGGCGUGCUUAACACAUGCAAGUCGAGCGGUAAGGCCCUUUCGGGGGUACGACGAGCGGCGAACGGGUAGAGUAACACGUGGGUGACCUGCCCUCCAGCUCUGGGAGUAAGCCCGGGAAACCGUAGGGUCGUGAUACCGGAUAUGACUCCAUGACGCAUGUUGUGGGGUGGAAAGCCUUGUGCGGCUGAGGAUGGGCCCGCGGCCUAUCAGCUUGUUGGUGGGGUGAUGGCCUACCAAGGCGACGACGGGUAGCCGGCCUGAGAGGGCGACCGGCCACACUGGGACUGAGACACGGCCCAGACUCCUACGGGAGGCAGCAGUGGGGAAUCUUGCGCAAUGGGCGAAAGCCUGACGCAGCGACGCCGCGUGAGGGAUGACGGCC